UGGCGCGUGCAUGGAGACCUCCAGAUUCACCCGCUGUGCACGCGCUCAACUCAAACUUGUUUCAGUAAUUACACAUUAACCUCUAAUAUUAUUUUAUUUGCAAAAAGUGUAGUAUAAAACUGUAGAAAUACAGACAACUGACAGGAGAAGAAGUGAUGGAAACUGCAGCUCUCGACACGUUUCCAGUGACGAGGAUCGUGUGCAGCUCGAAGGGCAUUCGGGCUCAGAAGCUGAAAGAAAAUGAGAAAUAUCUGCUAAAUCAGGACGCUUUGAUCCGGGAUCAGAUCAUCAAGCUGUAGAAACAGGGGAGGCCAUUUAUACCUGCUUUUACAUGUCCACCAUUUCCCAGAAGCCUUUGUGCAUCUCUAUGAAAUGAUUGUUAUUAGAAAGAGAUCUGAUCAGAGAUGUGACCAGAUCAGUAUGUGCAGAUAUACACAAUCAGAUCUUGAAGUGUUACACGGAGAAUAAAGAUCAAACACAGAACUGUUUCAGCAUGCUGUACAUUCAUUCAUUGAGUGUGUGGAUGCUGCCAAACAGGGGCCCCUAAACAACCCAGCGCGAACUGCGGGAUCAUACCGUAAUCAUCACGUGCCGCUGAGAUUGUCGCUUACAUGAACGUUUGAGAUGUGGAGUCAUCAAUCAUUGUGUGUGGACAGGACCACGUGCAGUUUCGAACCCCCGCAGCUCCCGCUGUGAACUUCUGAAGAUCCGACGUCCUGUUUGUUUUUCUGCAUUUAGAGAGAUCAUUGGUUGGAGGUCGGACGGGGAACCAGAUGAACUUCCAUGUAAACAUCUGACGUGUGAACAAUCUACAAGGGGGUUCGUAGCAGAGAAGAGGAUCUUCCACUUUCUCACGGUAAAACACAUCAAUAUUCGUCAGGGCUUCUACAACUGAAUGAAGGCCCUCAUAAUUCAACGCUUGAAGUGCUGGACAUUAGCAUUAAAUUUAAUGUCGGCGAUCAGAGAUGUUGUUUUGGCCCACUGCAGUGUUUCACUAUAUGGUUUAUUUUUCCAAGUAACAAAAACAAUUAAAUGACUUAGCUUUGUGUGGUCUUUUCAUUCUUGCAUUUGGCAUAAGCCUGGUGUCGGAUCAAAGGUGUCACAGACACCUGUUGCUGUAAUCAUGCAUUACAUACAGUAAAACGUAAUCAGCUUCCUUGUUGUGAACAUUUUGAAUUACCAUAUGCACGAAAGAAAGACGAGUUGGAUUUCAGAAGCACCUGGAAGUUGAUGUUUUCUUUCUGUUUCCCAUAGAUGACGCUGAUGUUAGAUAUCAGAAUUGAUCUGUGUGGUUAGCAUCCCUUUCCCAAACCCCAAAAUGACAGUAUGUGAUUAGGAAGCAGAAAAAGAUUGAGCUGGGGGGAGGUAGAGCAAGUGUUUGUGGGAGAGAGUCUAUUCACAGAUGUUACAAUGUACUAACAUACUGUACUACCAACAGAUAGUGGUAGUGUAUAGUAUGCAUAUUGCACCCAGUAUGCACAAUGCAAUGUGCUCAACGUGACCAUAUUUUUUCACUAUGAGAAAAGUGAUUACAUCAAUGAUCUCUUUUUUUACACAUUUUUGGCCUCUCCAAAUUGUCACUUAUGUUAUGUUAUGUUACAUUAUGCUACAUGUUAUGUUAUGUUAUGUUACAGUAUACAUUACAUUACAUUACAUUAUAUGUUACGUGUUACGGCAUGCUAAGUUAUGUUAUGCUAAGUUAUGUGCUACGCUAAGUUACUUAGCAUUAUGUUACGAUACGCUGCAAUACAAUACGUUAAGUUAUGCUACCAUACACUACGAUAUGUUAUGUUACGUUACCCCACCAUACACUACGUUAUGUUACGCUACCGUACACUACUGUAUGCUUUGUUACCAUACGUUACGUUACACUACCAUACACUACGCUUUGUUACCAUACACUACACUACGUUAUGUUACGCUACACUGUGUUACGUUACGCUACAAUACACUACGUUAAGUUAUGCUAUCAUACACUACGAUACGUUAUGUAACGUUACCUCACCAUACACUGCG